ACGACGGGGAAGGCGACUGCAGUACUCCCAGCGCAAGGCCUGCUCGCCGGGUCCUGGGAGCUCUCACGGCAGCGCGCGUGGAAGGCGGAGAAGGCCGCGAGUGGUGGGGGCCGCGCCUUCUCAUGUGUUUUUAAAAUCCUAUUUGACAUGGCAAACAAAGGCUUUUAACUCCCUGGAAGGUGAGCAGAAGACUCAGAGUGCGAAAGGUGGAAGGGUCAGUGGCCUGGGGUGAUUGGUACUCCUGAUACCAAAGACAGAGAAGCCACAUCUUGAUCCUGAUGAGAAUAAGGACUUCUCCUUAUCACUAUGUCCUCAACCACUCAUCAGCUCCAUGCCAUGAUGAAGCCUCCAUGGAUUCCUGACCUGAUCACUAUAGUCUGAGUGAGUGUGCAUCUGCUGGACUUAAGGCCCAAGACUUGAGACUCUAGAUCUGGCACUUAAGCUUAGCAAGCAGAGGGAAUGUCUGUAAUAAAUGUUUCAUGAUUAAGUAUGUUUACAGUGCUUAGAAUUGACUUGGAAUUGUUUGUUUUGAAUUGAUUAUGUCUAUUGCAGUGGCCAGAAUUAAAGAUUGUCAUUUUCUUUAUUAAGAACCUGUAGAAGGGCAAGAGUUGUCACUCUGUGGUAGAGGGCUCACCUAGCACGUUUGAGGUACUGGGUUCAAUCCUCAGCACCACAUAAAAAUAAAAUACAAUAAUGGUAUUGUAUCCAAGUACAACUAAAAUUAAAUACUGAAAGACAAAAUAACCUAUAGAGUGAAAUUAUAUUGAGAUAUUUGAGUGAAUAAAGCAUUGAAA
rnacentral:lncRNA from 1 species